AAUCAACGCUGGCGGCGUGCCUCAGACAUGCAAGUCGAACGAUUAAAGCUCUCUUCGGAGAGUGCAUAGAGUGGCGCACGGGUGAGCAACACGUAAGUAAUCUACCUUCGAGUGGGGAAUAACGUCCGGAAACGGACGCUGGUACCGCAUAAUGCAGCGGCAUCGCAAGAUGACAGUGGUUAAAGAUUUAUCGCUUGAAGAGGAGCUUGCGGCAGAUUAGCUAGUUGGUAAGGUAAUGGCUUACCAAGGCUACGAUCUGUAACCGGUCUUAGGGGACGGUCGGUCAGGCUGACAGUGAGUUACGGGUCAGAGUACUACGGGGGGGAGCAGUCGGGAAUUUUGGGCAAUGGGGGAAAGCCUGACCCAGCAACGCCGCGUGAAGGAUGAAGUGUUUCGGUAUGUAAAAUGCGGAAGAAUGGGAAGAAUCAAUGACGGUACCAUUUAUAAGGGCCGGCUAACUGCGUGCCAGCAGCCGCCGUAAUAC
rnacentral:rRNA from 1 species